GAAUGGGCGAAGCCUGAUCCAGCCAUGCCGCGUGUGUGAUGAAGGCCUUCGGGUUGUAAAGCUCUUUUGGUUGGGAAGAAAGGGCUUUGACUAGUACCUGGGGGUCUUGUCCGUACCGUGAGAAUAAACACCGGUUAACUUCGUGCCAGCAGCCGCGGUAAUCAA
rnacentral:rRNA from 1 species